GACGAACGCUGGCGGCGUGCCUAAUACAUGCAAGUCGAGCGAAGUUUUUCUGGUGCUUGCACCGGAAAAACUUAGCGGCGAACGGGUGAGUAACACGUAAAGAACCUGCCUCAUAGACUGGGACAACUAUUGGAAACGAUAGCUAAUACCGGAUAACAGCAUUAGCUGCAUGGUUGAUGUUUAAAAGUUGGUUUUGCUAACACUAUGAGAUGGCUUUGCGGUGCAUUAGCUAGUUGGUGGGGUAAAGGCCUACCAAGGCGACGAUGCAUAGCCGACCUGAGAGGGUGAUCGGCCACACUGGGACUGAGACACGGCCCAGACUCCUACGGGAGGCAGCAGUAGGGAAUCUUCCGCAAUGGGCGAAAGCCUGACGGAGCAACGCCGCGUGAGUGAAGAAGGAUUUCGGUUCGUAAAGCUCUGUUGUUAGGGAAGAAUGAUUGUGUAGUAACUAUACACAGUAGAGACGGUACCUAACCAGAAAGCCACGGCUAACUACGUG
rnacentral:rRNA from 1 species